CCAGAGUGUGGAAUACGCCGGCAUUUUCUAGGUUACAACGAGGUCAUUCCGGACGAUUUGGAUUAGAAGUGGGUCGUUGGCCGAGUUCGUGUGUUGCUGUUCCUGUUGCUUGAAGUUCUUCCCUUUUGGUAUUCCAUCGAUUUACUCAUUUUUCAUUCCAUGUUGAACCCUGUGAGGUCCGCUUACCUGGGAGCGCGCCUCACCCCCUUGUUUUAUUGUUAUCGUUGAACUCCUUUCAUUUUAGUUAUGAUGUAAGCCCUAAGGCGCCACAGUGCA